rnacentral:rRNA from 1 species
CCUACGGGUGGCAGCAGUCGAGAAUCAUUCACAAUGGGGGAAACCCUGAUGGUGCGACGCCGCGUGAGGGAAUGAAGGUCUUCGGAUUGUAAACCCCUGUCAUGUGGGAGCAAAUUAAAAAGAUAGUACCACAAUAGGAAGAGACGGCUAACUCUGUGCCAGCAGCCGCGGUAAUACAGAGGUCUCAAGCGUUGUUCGGAAUCACUGGGUGUAAGGGGUGCGUAGGCGGUUUCGUAAGUCGGGUGUGAAAGGCGCGGGCUCAACCGGCGGACGGCACAUGAUACUGGGAGACUAGAGUAAUGGAGGGGGAAGCGGAAUUCUCGGUGUAGCAGUGAAAUGCGUAGAUAUCGAGAGGAACACUCGUGGCGAAGGCGGGUUCCUGGACAUUAACUGACGCUGAGGCACGAAGGCCAGGGGAGCGAAAGGGAUUAGAUACCCCUGUAGUC